GCGCCCGUAGCUCAGUUGGACAGAGCGUCGGACUUCGAAUCCGAAGGUCGCAGGUUCGAUCCCUGCCGGGCGCACCA
rnacentral:tRNA from 1 species